CCUCUAGCCGUCCAAACAAUGUCAGACAUUGCUGGACGGCAGAGGUACUAGUGACAUGUCUGGUGGCCACACUGAGCGCUUGUCUCUUGUAAGUACUCCCUUACUCUGGAUCCUUUUAUUUAUCACCUUUUGCAUUGGUUCCCUCCUUCCUUAUCUAAUGCCUGUUUCUAUUGCCAUCCAUUGUAUUCACAGAUUGGAGCUCUGCUAGCCCUCUACUGACACCUCUGGCCAAAUUUAAUAUGACACAUUUCUGCUAACCUCAGGUUUUUACAUUAUCAUAUGUUACUUUGUGACUAUAUGGGCCUGAGGUCUUGCUAUAUGUGAUUCUGCACCGCCGGCUUCCUUCCUCUUAAUUUCAUACAGAGGAGUCUUUCUGCGUCUUGAUAGUGGUGUCCUUUCUCUGGGGUGUGCAGGGUUGAUUAAACGCUGUGAUUGAAAAGUGGUUCUUAUACUCGUUGACUACAUAUACUUCGGCCCCUGAUGAAGGGUAAUCCGAAACGCGUAGGGCCGUGUAUGUCUUCAUGGACCUUGCUUUUCAAUGACACCUAACCAUGUAUUGUUUUUAAAUAAUUCUAUGUGAUAUAUGUGUACAAUUUCCAUUUUUGAAUAUUAAAUUAUCUAUUUUUUGGAUUA